CCGAAAUCAUCUUUACCAAUUGAGAACAAUCCUUAGCAAACGUGACAUGAAACUAUCUUAAAUUCUUCAUACAUUCCACUGCCCAUAUUAGCGCUUCCACCUCCGAAUGGAGAGGUGGAAGACUUUCCCUGACAUUCCUUGCCCCUAACAAUCCAUCAAAAUCCGGUAAAGUGCUCUACCAGCCUUGUAUAGAAAAUAUGUCAUUAUCUUUGCAGGAACCAUCAGUGAAAAACCAUCUUCGUGGAAUUGCUGGUAUGGACUUGUCGUGUACUUGAUGUACCAUUAUCUGACUAUUUAUUACAUGUGCCUCAGCCCAAAGUGCUGAUUCUAGUUCCGUUAUUUUCAAAGUUUCUCUUGGAUCUAUAUCCAGAU
rnacentral:lncRNA from 1 species